rnacentral:rRNA from 1 species
GAUGAACGCUGGCGGCGUGCCUAAUACAUGCAAGUCGAGCGAAUGGAUUAAGAGCUUGCUCUUAUGAAGUUAGCGGCGGACGGGUGAGUAACACGUGGGUAACCUGCCCAUAAGACUGGGAUAACUCCGGGAAACCGGGGCUAAUACCGGAUAACAUUUUGAACCGCAUGGUUCGAAAUUGAAAGGCGGCUUCGGCUGUCACUUAUGGAUGGACCCGCGUCGCAUUAGCUAGUUGGUGAGGUAACGGCUCACCAAGGCAACGAUGCGUAGCCGACCUGAGAGAGGGAUCGGCCACACUGGGACUGAGACACGGCCCAGACUCCUACGGGAGGCAGCAGUAGGGAAUCUUCCGCAAUGGACGAAAGUCUGACGGAGCAACGCCGCGUGAGUGAUGAAGGCUUUCGGGUCGUAAAACUCUGUUGUUAGGGAAGAACAAGUGCUAGUUGAAUAAGCUGACACCUUGACGGUACCUAACCAGAAAGCCAUGGCUAACUACGUGCCAGCAGCCGCGGUAA